GUUCACUUUGUCAGUACAUAUGUUAAAAUUGAAAUAAUACAGAGAUUAGCAUGACCCCUGAGUGAAUUCAUGAGGUGUUCUCUCUCUCU
rnacentral:snRNA from 1 species